AUUGAUUUUAUGCUUGCAUAAAUGAUUUUUGGAUUCGGAGCGAGUGGCGAACUGGUGAGUAACACGUGGGUAACCUGCCCCGAAGCGGGGGAUAACAUUUGGAAACAAGUGCUAAUACCGCAUAAUUAGUUGGAACCGCAUGGUUCCAACUUGAAAGAUGGCUCUGCUAUCACUUUGGGAUGGACCCGCGCCGUAUUAGUUAGUUGGUGAGAUAAAAGCCCACCAAGACGAUGAUACGUAGCCGACCUGAGAGGGUAAUCGGCCACAUUGGGACUGAGACACGGCCCAGACUCCUACGGGAGGCAGCAGUAGGGAAUCUUCCACAAUGGACGAAAGUCUGAUGGAGCAACGCCGCGUGAGUGAUGAAGGUUUUCGGAUCGUAAAACUCUGUUGUUAAAGAAGAACAAGUGUUAGAGUAACUGUUAACACUUUGACGGUAUUUAACCAGAAAGCCACGGCCAACUACGUGCCAGCAGCCGCGGUAAUACGUAGGUGGCAAGCGUUGUCCGGAUUUAUUGGGCGUAAAGCGGGCGCAGGCGGUUUUGUAAGUCUGCUGUGAAAGCCCUCAGCUCAACUGAGGAAGUGCAGUGGAAACUACAAAACUUGAGUACAGAAGAGGAAAGUGGAACUCCAUGUGUAGCGGUGAAAUGCGUAGAUAUAUGGAAGAACACCAGUGGCGAAGGCGGCUUUCUGGUCUGUUACUGACGCUGAGGCUCGAAAGCAUGGGUAGCGAACAGGAUUAGAUACCCUGGUAGUCCAUGCCGUAAACGAUGGAUACUAGGUGUUGGAGGGUUUCCGCCCUUCAGUGCCGCAGCUAACGCAUUAAGUAUUCCGCCUGGGGAGUACGACCGCAAGGUUGAAACUCAAAGGAAUUGACGGGGGCCCGCACAAGUGGUGGAGCAUGUGGUUUAAUUCGAUGCUACGCGAAGAACCUUACCAGCUCUUGACAUCUUCUGCCAACCCAAGAGAUUGGGCGUUCCCUUCGGGGACAGAAUGACAGGUGGUGCAUGGUUGUCGUCAGCUCGUGUCGUGAGAUGUUGGGUUAAGUCCCGCAACGAGCGCAACCCUUAUUACUAGUUGCCAGCAUUUAGUUGGGCACUCUAGUGAGACUGCCGGUGAUAAA
rnacentral:rRNA from 1 species